rnacentral:lncRNA from 1 species
AGAAUCACAAAGUUGUUGAGGUUAAUUCACUUAGAUGUUAGUGGCACUUGUCCACAAACAUAAAAACUACUCAUGUUGGAUAACAUUCACCGAAGAUCACUCUCGGUUGGACUAUAGUUUAUUUUGAAUAAACACAAGUCCGAAUACUUUGCAAAAUGUUUCAAAGAAAUUCAAGGAAUGUAAAUAGAUGAGUAAGAUAUCUAAAGUAUUUACCUCUUUAGAUUUGAUCCAAGGAAAGGUAACACUUUAGAUGAGUUUCCUUGAAUGAUAUCAAGGAAAAUAGCAUCAUAAGAUAACGUAUUUCUCCAUUAGGAGAAGAACGAACUCGAAUAAGAUUUAGUUCGUUAGAUGUUAUCUAUUACCCAUAUAUAGGAUAUAUACUUCUAAAAACAAUAUGAUUGUCAAUGAGAAGAUCUUCCAAUAUUUUCAUGACUCCAUAAGAUGUAGUUGGAAAGAAAGACAAAUCUUAAGCAUGUUAACGAUUUGAGGUUGUGUGCUAAUAAGCAAUAUUUGUUUGAUAACAAUCUUGUGGGAUAUCCUUAAAUUAAAUUUUGGAUAUCGCUUCUAUAAUCCAACUAACAAAUGUUGUUUUGUUGGGAAGUUCAUUGUAAUCCUACAAUGUGAUUUGCCUAAGAGCAAAUGAACGAGAGAUAGAACUCAAAGAAUGGGUUCUUUGAGAGACAAGGAAGUAAUCAACAAAUAUAACAACCUAGUUCCUAUACCUCAAGCUCCAAGGUAGUCAAUAAGGAUUUAUAAACCGUCUCAGUUGAAUGGUUUUGAACUUUAUGACUAUGUCAUAGAGUUGCACCUCUUAAUUCGAAAGAAGUAAGAAUGAAAAUCCUUAUACACUGAGUGCAUAUACGAUAUAUACUCAAGGAAAUGGUAAAGUACCAUUUGACUUGAAAUAAUGAAACCUUCAUAGCUAAUUGGUAGCUUAAGGUGACUACAAUCAAAGAAAAUGGUUGACUUUGAAGAAACCAUCUUUGAGAUAGUCUUAGUUUCAAUUAAUUCGAAGAUUGCUAGCUACAACUAAAUGGUGAUUCAAUGUUUGGACAUUAUUAAGAUAGUCUUGAUAAUAUAUGUCUAAAACUAUGAAUCACAAGACAUGUAAGUUGUAGAGAUCCAUCCAUCAUGGAUCUUAGCAAGCUAGUGGGAGCUAUUUGCAUCUUAUGAGAAAAAGAUCAAAUCGUUUGAUUGCUUAUAAAGAUGUAAAUGAAUCUUUUGUUUACUAGGUUUACAAAAGAUUAGUGGGAGUUAAUCAUGUUCCUAAAAUUUAAAAUAUAUAUGAUAUAUUAAUUUUGGAAAUGAAAUGAAUUCUUCUUCGUUAAAGUUAUGACUUUAAGCAUUCUAUAAACGAUAGAAUGUAUAUGGGAGAUAUAGUCUAUAUACAUGGGAAUGAAAUCUAUAUUGAUAGAUUUUAGGAUAUAAUUGGAUUGUAUCAAUCCCUAAUAAUAGACAAGAGAUGCUGGGAAGUUUCUCAUAUGAUGAUAAACUUCAAUCAAAUGGACAAUUCUAGUAAGACUAAGAAGUUGUUUGACUCCCAAAGAAAUAAUGCGUAAAUAGAAUCCUUUAUGCGUAAGCAGAAAGGUGAUUUAUGUAUUUCAUAUUGUAUGAAAAACAUUGAUAUGAGUUGUACCUAGAACGGUACAAGACGAUAUCAAUACAAGCCCAGGAUCAGAACCAUGGCAACUGUCAAGUGAGUCCUUAAGUAUUUAAGAAAUACUAAA